GGCCGCCCUCGGGCUGGCGGAGGCGCCGGAGGAGCCCCCGAGCUGCAGCCGUCUCCCUCGGGCUGCUGCCGGUGCUGCGGGCGGAGGCGGCUCCGCCGCGUGUUGGGCGCUGCGAGCAGGGAGCGCUGCGGUAUCGCCGGCAUGACGGGGCUGCUGCCUGCGUUAGUGCUCGUGGCUCUUUGUGCCGUGACAGCGGAUGGAGCGGCGCUGAGCGGGACACCCAGAGAUGGCCGGGAGAAUGCCCAGCGCAGGGAGCGGGCGGGCUGUGUGCUUCGGAUGGCACAGGUGCGAGCUGCAAAGCCACCCCCCCUUCCGCCCCUGCCCUCCCGAGCCCCAGGGAAAAUGCUUUCCAGCAUUGUCGAGCUUCUGAAAGACAAAACUUGUGAUUUGACACUAGCAUCCAGAAAAGGUUUCUGUCUAGAUUAGCAAAUGCCUAAAUUGUUCUUGGUUACAUCCCAUGACCGGUUUUAGGCAGUGACUUCAUACUGCUUUUAGGAUUUUCUUGUACACUGGUGAGAAAAUAGGCAGGUCUGAUAGUGGUUUCACUUUUUUUCUACUUCACGUUCCAUAAGAUUCUUUUAUCCAAGCGAUUGUUUUAAAAUUCUACUGUAAGCGUUUGUGGUUCACUUUUUUUUUCUUUGCAGCACCCGGGCCUUUUUUUUUUUCUCUAAAUCGGGAGUAAAUAUAGCUGAGUAAAAUUACCUUGGUUAUCUUCCUUCUUUUUAAACUUAAUUGUUUUUAUUAAUAAUUCUAUCUGAAUAUGCAGAAAAAGUGAGUAUGUCCUGUAAUCUAUGCUAGCUUUUCUCGUUUACAGGGUACUCACAAAAUAUGUCUCCCUUAGUGUCCCACGGAAACAUUCUGGGUGCAAUCUGAAUUAAGGUAUGUGUUUUCAAAUAAGUAAUCAGUUUAGAUAUUUGCCUGUGUACCUUUUCCUGUAAUUCAGAGCUUGUGUUCUGUGGGUUUUAUGAUAAACCUGUAAAACAUGUAAGAAUGGUUUUGCAAGUCUGAAUCGUUGAAGGCAGCAAUAAGUGGAUUUAAAGCCUGUUCUUGAGCAGACAAAGGGGAAAAGUGUGACUCUGAUGCUGAACUUGUCAUUUUUCAUUUGACUUGCCUUUAAUUAUUGAAGAAGAGAGAGAACUAGGAAAAGAAAUAGAAUUGAUUAUUGAGCACUCCUAAAAAGCUCACCAUGAUUCUGUGUAGAGCCAAAGUGAAGGAUGAUGGAACAGAGCUCUGUGCAUUAGAAGGAAAUAAACCUGAUGUCCACACAGAGUCUUACUAAUUUCUGUUUUUAAAAUGCAAAAUAAGUUUAGGAAGUGUUGGAAGUUAGUAUUUUGGGAAAGAAAUGGCAGUUCCACAAAACAUUCCAUUCCAUUUAAGAGAGGCCCUUGGACUGAUUCAUGUUGUAACUGCUGUCACUGCAAUCAGUUGGUGGUUCAGCCUUGAAACGUGCACUUGGCCUUCUAUAAAGCACUGUUUUGUUUGCCUUUCAGUGCUAUGAGUCUUGAUAAAUUGGAGAAGUGCCCAAGAGAAAUUCAUCAUCCUGAGAUACAAAAGGUAGGAAGUGACUUUUUCUGGUUUGGUUCUUUUUCUUUAUUGUUUUCUGGAAAUAGAAGUAAUUAAGUAUAGAUACUACUGGUUUGUUUCUUCCAGUAGCUGAUAAUACUAAUACCAAUAAUAAUAAUAAUAAUAAUAGUAAAGUAAUACUACUUCAACUGUCUUUAUUUAUCCAUUGAACUGGCCAUUUUAAAUCUAAACUUCUAAACACAAAUCAAACCAUCAUCCUUGUAGAAUCUUUAAUAGGAGUGGGCUAAAGAUCCUGGUUUUGUUGACAGGAUUUAUUGGUUCAUGAACAGCAAGAGGUAAGUACAAGCCUAACUACCCUCUAGCUCACAGACCUGCCCGGUGAAUAGAGCUUUGUUUUUUUGAUGGGCUUGUGAUGACUUUGAGAUCAAUUGCUCAUUCAUUACAGUAAAAAAAAAAAAAUUGUUUUGAGCAUGACAGCAAAAAUAACUUUAAGCACAACUUAAUAAUAAUAAUAGAUCACCAAUUUUAGUUAAUAAUUUUAUGCUAUACUCUUGGGUGAGGGAAGACUCGGACACUCAAUAUGAGAUCAGCAAGCUAUGUUUAUUGCAGAGAGUAUCAGACACUUAUACAGCACAUAAUAAGCUUAUGAAUAUUCUGUAAGCCAAGCGAUCUAUUGGUUAAACUAUACCAUCAACUCUUCCUCAUUCCUUUGGGCCUACAUUCCCUAUUUCCCACGUCUCUCUGUCUACUUGUUAUCCUACCCAGCUAGGCCCAGGCACACGCUAUCUUGCAGGUGCAAAACUCAAAAAUACCUGUGUUCGGUACUUUCCCAGCUCCUGGUCGGCUAACGAGCGAAUGUCUGCGUGACCUCUGUCAUGGAGCCAUUUCUCCACACUAUACUAUCAAAGUUUAAAGGUAAAUUAUUAUAUAUUAGGAGAUGGUGUAAAGUGUAUGUUGUAAUGUGUAGGAUAUAUACAAAGAUACGUACUUGAAAGUCCGUAGAGGAAACAAAUUUUUACGCCUUCUGUUUGACUGUUUGUCAUAUAUUUGGUUUUAUUUCCCAGGGAUCAGUGAAUUUUAACUCUGGAGUCCUCUAUGCUAAGGAUGCUCAGCUUAGAGAUGAUGAAAUGUUCAGUAAUGUAUUUGCUGCAGCUCUGCUUACCCAAGCUUUGGGUUCCCUCUGUCUCACUGGGAGUUGCCCAAUUCAGUUGCAUCUGGUGAAAUUCACCCUGAGACCUUACAGAACCAGCUCCAACUACGUGAGAGCCAUUUGCAGUUCUCUCCAGACACCUGGAGAAUGGGCGACAUUUCUGAGAAUCCGGCGAGCGUGCUUCUAUCAAAACUCAGUCUGUGAAAUUCCUGGGGAAAACCCUUCUGUGUCCUGAAGGGUUCAAACUCUGGAUUUUUUGUCUUUGCAAAAUAUUGUGCAUUUCACUCUUUGGAACCUCUCAGAUGGUUCUCUGGUGCAGCACCACCCCAUGGGACACUUGGCUGCUGUCCUGAAGGGUUUGGUCGCUAGAAUUGUGAAUCCUGGAGAGUUUGUGAGUCUUCUGUCCCCAGGGAGGUACCAUGCUUUGUUUACUUUUUGUUCUGUUGGUUAGGCGCUGCUUCUCGUUGCAAGUACGAAUUUCAAACUGCCCUGUUCUUUUUUUAACUGUUUUCCUGGUUCUCUCCGUCCGGCAGGGAAAGACUCUCGUAUCCUUGUCAUCGGGCUCGGUGCUGUCCAAGAAGAUACAGAGACUAAAAAAAUCAUAAGAAGCAAAAUAUGACUGCAGGGAAAAGAAGCUGGAGAGAACAGAAGGUGAUGUUGUUAUCCUUACCCUGUAUUAGAAACAUCCGCUGUGCUUUGAUGCUGGCAGCUGCCAGGGGCUUGUUAGCUCUUUGUAGGCAGGUGUAGGUGUUCACUUGUAGGUUUUUUCUCUGUUCAAGUCAAUUCAAACUUUGCUAAGCUUAUAUUUGCAGAUUACUCUCUAGCACAGUCCAGCAUGACAUUUUUGAAUGUUGUAAAAAUACCAUGUUACUUGGAAAUUGCUAAUGAAGAGAAGAUUUAGGGGAAAAUAAGAUUUCAGGGUUGGAAGAUGUGAGAAGAAUUUUGUGGGGACGUUAGACUGAAGUAAAGCACACUUGAAGCUGGACUGGCACGCUGGCAGGUCCCCUAUUAAACAGUAGUGCUGAGAUUAGCCUGGGGGUUGCCCAUUGUUUCUGUAGAAAUCAAUGUUUCCUGGUCUUCAGAGGUAAGCUGCUUUGAAAAGCUGGAAGGUGCAGCAUGCUGACAAUCCCCGUGCUUUGGAUUAAAAGUAGAUUUCAGAAGGGUCCUAAGCUUUUGUCUUUUCCUUGAAGUUGAUGUAAUCCUGUCGAGGAGUUUUUAAUUCUCUGUUGCCAUGUCAUCCAUCAGAGCCCUGUUGUACUAAUCUUAUACAAGUACAAAACAAAAAAUCAGACCCUGUCCCAAGCACUUAGAGGCCAGAACACGAUUUCCUCAGGCUGCCAUUUGUGUGCCAUCGGUACUCACCACGAAUUGAGCCCUCUGGCUCUGACAGAGCCCCUGGAUGCUGACGGAAGGGGGCUGGUCACAGACCCUGGAGGUGCCUGUCCCCCAGGGAGGGAGAGGCCGAGGCAGUGUGGCCUGCAGGGAGGGUCUGGUCCCCAGAGAGCAGCCGGCGACUCCAUGCCUGCCCGGGGCUGCGGGUGCACCCUCGGGGUGGACGCCUGCCCUCAGGUUUCCCCUGGGCACCCGGGGAGGGAACCAGGUCCAUCCGUGUGGCAGCUGCAGGGCCUGCAGGCUCUGGGCCCUGGAGCCGAGUGAGCCUGAGCUGCUGCAUGCUUGCUGUGAGCGUUGGGGUGAGCGUGCAUCACUGCAGGCCUGGGAUGGAUUGAAAUGCGCUGAGGAAAGCAGAGGGAGGGAGGGAAAUGCUCUGUUAACAUGUGCCAAUUCUUCUGUCAGACUCAUCACGGCGGGACAGCGUGAAGACUGAAAGUGUAAGAAGAUGUGGAGGGAAACAGAGAAUCUGACAGGAGCAUCGGAGGGACGAGUGCACGAAUUUUGCUUUUUGCUUGGAUGUAAACUCAGGAGUUGAGAGGAAUUUGGGAGUGAGAAGGGACAUUUUAGAAGGAGAAGAAGAAAAAGAAGUUGUUGCUACAGUCCUGGCAAAAUCUUUUGUUCUAGCUAAUAAAAGAAGUUAGUUUAAAAAACAAAAAGGAAAAAAUGUAGUGUUUUUUUUUUCCUUCACUAUGAUAUUCAUUGGUGGUAUAUGGUGUGUUGUUUCAUUUCUUGGUAUUAUUAACUCUGUGUAAAUUGUUUUUUGAGUGAAGCUGACUUUCUGGAUGGGUUGGUUUGUAUUUGAGGCAGGAUUAAUUUCAGUAGGGUUCUUUCAUAGAUUUCUGAUGGGUAUUACUGGGAUUUUGGUUUUGUUUACUGUAUGUAUGAACCUAGAGCUUUGGUAGGGCCAGCUGGGCUGCUGGAGUUUUGGGUGUGAAUUUAUUAGAUGGCUUUUGUUAGAUGCAGUUUUUAAUUUUUGAAAUGUUUUUCAAUGUAGUGGUUUUAAGGUGGUUUUUAAGAAUUCAUUGUAUUGCUUUAUCUUGUUUGUAGUUGGUGUAUGAUAAGGGAUGUGGUGUGAGUUCUUGAACAUUAUGGUUUUGGUGUUCCUAAGUUCUGAUUUCUUUGUGGUUCAAUAGCUUUUUUUAUUUUUAUUUUUUGGGACAGGGGCAUUUAUAUGGUGGGUUUUUAUAGGCAAUAUGUUUUUUAAUUUAGGUAGUGAUAUUUUUUAAUAUUUUAAUAGUUUAGGUUUUUUAUUUUCAUGGUUUUAAUUAUUUUUUUUAAUUUUUUGAAAUAACUUUUAUAGAUUACAUGUUAUUAUUUGUGCAUUAACAUAAAGGUAGAGCUUUGGGGACUUUUUUUAGUAAUGUUUAGGGUCAGUUGUGCAGUUUUGAGUCUAGUGCGUUGGUUUGAUUUAAUUUU